AACGGGUGAGUAACACGUGGGUAACCUGCCCAUCAGAAGGGGAUAACACUUGGAAACAGGUGCUAAUACCGUAUAACAAUCRAAACCGCAUGGUUUUGAUUUGAAAGGCGCUUUCGGGUGUCGCUGAUGGAUGGACCCGCGGUGCAUUAGCUAGUUGGUGAGGUAACGGCUCACCAAGGCCACGAUGCAUAGCCGACCUGAGAGGGUGAUCGGCCACAUUGGGACUGAGACACGGCCCAAACUCCUACGGGAGGCAGCAGUAGGGAAUCUUCGGCAAUGGACGAAAGUCUGACCGAGCAACGCCGCGUGAGUGAAGAAGGUUUUCGGAUCGUAAAACUCUGUUGUUAGAGAAGAACAAGGAUGAGAGUAACUGUUCAUCCCUUGACGGUAUCUAACCAGAAAGCCACGGCUAACUACGUGCCAGCAGCCGCGGUAAUACGUAGGUGGCAAGCGUUGUCCGGAUUUAUUGGGCGUAAAGCGAGCGCAGGCGGUUUCUUAAGUCUGAUGUGAAAGCCCCCGGCUCAACCGGGGAGGGUCAUUGGAAACUGGGAGACUUGAGUGCAGAAGAGGAGAGUGGAAUUCCAUGUGUAGCGGUGAAAUGCGUAGAUAUAUGGAGGAACACCAGUGGCGAAGGCGGCUCUCUGGUCUGUAACUGACGCUGAGGCUCGAAAGCGUGGGGAGCAAACAGGAUUAGAUACCCUGGUAGUCCACGCCGUAAACGAUGAGUGCUAAGUGUUGGAGGGUUUCCGCCCUUCAGUGCUGCAGCUAACGCAUUAAGCACUCCGCCUGGGGAGUACGACCGCAAGGUUGAAACUCAAAGGAAUUGACGGGGGCCCGCACAAGCGGUGGAGCAUGUGGUUUAAUUCGAAGCAACGCGAAGAACCUUACCAGGUCUUGACAUCCUUUGACCACUCUA
rnacentral:rRNA from 1 species